GCCUUCCCCCCAUCCAUUGCUCCAUCAGUGUCAGCCUCCCCAGCACCAGGAGUUUCUCUGCCCAGUUACAAAUGCGAGCAUGCAACCGGUGAAUAUGAACAGUGCAAGACAGGGCAGGGUCCAUCUCAGUAAGACAAUGACAACACCGGCAGGGAUCCCUAUAGGCUGACCGUCAAUCUGUGGUUUAUCCACGCGAGUUGUCUGUAACAACAACGCUGCCUCAUCUGUAGUAUGUAGACCUAUUACAAAGUCAUAUGGCCA